rnacentral:lncRNA from 1 species
AAUGGUGUUAAAGGUACAAGUGAAUGAAUCUUCUCUUAAUUUUGAGACAAUUCCUGGCACUGGCACUGAUGAAGAAGAUGGCAGCAAACGGAAGACUGGAACCAAAGAGGAGCCUUGAGAAGUCAGAAGUUCUGUUCCAGUGAGUUGAAUCAAGACUCACAGUUUAGAACUGGGAAGAAAGAGCUCUUCUCUUGUUAUGCUCUUGGGAUGCCCAAUGACUGAAUUACUAGUAACAAUUGGCCUGAAUCCUCCUGUCAGUCUGGCACUGUCUGAAUAACUCUUCGUGCAGUGAAGGAAGGAGCUGUUCCCCGCUUAAACGUCAUUGACGGCUGUCUGCUUAUCUGCCAGCUUCCAAGCUACAGUUUAAGUUGGAAGGACAUGGGCAAAGGACAAUGCCACCUUUCAGCUGUAAUUGCAAGUCAUGAUUACCAAUCACCAUCUAUCAAGAAGACAGCUAAUUUUUGAUACUAUAUAAUAAAAUAGGCUCUGGUUAUUUUUCUUCUUUUUUUCUUUUUUUAAAUUAAACUUUAAGUUUUGGGAUACAUGUACACAAAAUACAGAUUUGUUACAUAGGUAUACACGUGCCAUGGUGGUUUGCUGCACCCAUCAACCAGUCAUCUACAUUAGGUGUUUCUACUAAUGCUAUCCCUCCCCUAGCCUUCCACCUUCCGACAGGCCUUAGUGUGUGAUAGUCCCCUCACUGUGUACCUGUGUUC